GGGGGGAGAGGGAAGAGAGGGGGAGGACUGAACUGUAGGAGAGACAGAACGGGGAGGAGGGCAAAGAACAAGAGGAGGAAUAGAAGAUAGGGAGGAAGAGGGAGGAAGGUGACGAGGGAUAAACGGAGGAGGAGUGAAGAACGGGGAGCAGCUAAACGGGCUUCGGGGGGAGGAGAGAAGAGUCGGGGAGUAAGGCAAAUUGAAGAUGUGAGGAAGAACAGGAGCGAUGGGCAGGAGGUAAACAGGAGGUGUGGAAGGGGGAGACGGAAAGUGAAAGAUGGAGGCAGGAGAAGGGACAGCAGGAGAAGAGGAAAAAGAGACAGAUUUGAUAUUGGGAUAAAAGAGGGGAGAGGAAGAAGAGGUAGGUUUAGAGGAGGAGUGAGGGAGGAAAUGGAUGGGAGGAGACAUUUUAGGACAGAGGGGGAAUGUAGGAGAUCUAAGAAGUUUUGGAGCUACUCCAAUAAUCACAGUUCACACGGAGAAAACAAAAAAGAUGCAGAACUGUUAGAUGAGACUUGGAUGAAAAGACAGACACAGCAUGUAAAAACCAAACAGGUUAUUAAUGUGCACAAAGACAGUGAGAUGGAAAUAUGAAUGACGGAGGCAGAAUGUUUCGGAAGCUGCAGAAGCAAAGAUACGGCUCCUCAGAAUCAUGGGAUUGCUUAUCUCGCUUGACAAGCAGAGCAGACUUCUUAGUCAACAGCAGCAGUAACAUCUUUUGGAAGAGCUGGAGAAACAUCCAUACUGAAUGAUGUCCACUCCAUAUAUUUCUCAGACCAACUUCUUUCAAAGAGAUACAGUUUUUACAUUUUUAAAGUCACAUUCUGGCUUUGUUGGGGAUCUAAGAAGUCAAAAGUUUGUUGAGCUGCAGAUCCAUUUACACAGAGAAAGAAAGAAGGUGUAGGAUUGAAACAGGGAAUGCGGAAAGGCAGGAUCGUAGCCAAGACCAAAUUCAAACACCAAACCCUCUAAGAAUUCUGGUGGAGAAAUACUACGUCCCUUGCCAUAAACAGUCAAAUUAAAAGCUGAAUCAGCCUUUUAAAACCCAUCAUGUGUAAUAUGUGUAUAAUUGUUGAAUGUUAACUCCUUCUAAGGCCAUUAAAACAAACAUUCCCAGAGAUAACACUCAGGACAUGACCUCGGUGUCCUUAACAGAAGCUCAAGUGCUGUUAAAUGGCUGUGAGGAUGCUAAUGCUAAAGCCUGCUAGUUAGCUGAUGCUGUCCAGUUAGUGCUGUGGUAGGCAGGAAAGAGAGGCUUAAAGGAUAUUCUAUAUUUCUCUUAUUGUCAACAAAAUUUUGUACUACACUGUACUACACACUACACUGUAAAUUUCACAAAGAACUUUGGUACAAAAGUUCAGAGGUUGUGAUAUGUAGCGCAACAAGCUAGUGAAGCUCUGUAAAUAGAACUGCGUUAGUCUUUGAGCCAUUUCCAAACAAACUAACGUGCCCAGACUCCUCAUAGUGAAGGAACAUAUCACCCAGUGCAGAGGUGUGGCUCAUUGACAUGUUUUUAAUAGUUUUUUGGACAAUAAUGGAAGUCUACAGCACAGAGGACUAAGAUAUAUCAGGCUUUGGAUGUAAGUUGGAUCAGUCCAUUGUUGGUUUGGUGUUCUCAAUGUUCUGUUGACAGUAAGAAAACUAUAGAAAAUCACCAGCCUUAUCCUUUAAGAUUGGUAGCUUCCUGCACAACUUCAAGUUCAAGCUGUAGGCAGAGGGCGCUGUUGCACUGCAGUCUUAUACUAGUCAGCCUGAGUUACAGCAGCAGCUCAGCAGGGAGGGAAAGAGCAGAAACAACUGGAUCCAAAAGCAGUCAUUUAUCAGAAGCUGUUGAAGUUAGCAAAAGGUAGCCAUUGGUGGGAGUUAGCUGGUUAGUGGUGCUUAGCGUUGGCAGGGGAAUUUGCUGUAGGAGUUAGUCACUCGGAAGCAAGAAGAGGAAACAGGAGGAGGAGGAGCAGGAGGAGGAGGCAGGGAGUCUGCUGGUCUCAAAGCAGCUGAAGCUACGGUGGAGCGUAGAGGCUGAGAGGCUCGGAGGAACCCAGGAGAUGACAGGCUCACCAGUCCAGCUGAGUCCGAGGUGGUCGGCUACUAUUGCCAUACGGAGGUCUGUUCUCUCACAGGGACUCUGAGGGCCUGUGCGAGGAAGCAGGGGAGGCCAGGACACAAACAAUUAAAACGUUGGUGGUGAAGGAGACACAGUCAUUGACGAAGGUGAGAGGUGUUGUGCCUGUGAUGUCUUCCCACUGUGCUGGGGACGUACCACCUAAUUGACAGUCAUACAGGGAAGGACGCCUGAACCAAUGGGACGCUCCGGCUGCACAGAGUCCCGCCCUCGGGUCCCAUCUGAUUGGUCUCCUGCCGGA